AUACCAUAGUUGCUUAUUACGAUUAACUUUAACAAUUAAUUUUUAAAUUGAUUAAUUAAAGAUGGAAUUAUUUUAAUGUGUUGUUUGCUUGUAAUGUUAGGCUAUGCAUAAAAUUAGUGGUGAAUUAAGCAUUAAGAAAAGGAAGAGAAAAUAAUUCUAUUGUUAUAUAUUGCAAUAACAUGUUUGCAAUGAGGUAAGUAAUUUCUAUUGUUUCAUUAAAAAAGAAUGGAGAUCCAACAUGUCAUCCAUCGCCACCCCUUGUCAUUGUCAUUCAUUGAGGAGAGGAGUUCAAUAGCAUGGUGCAAAGGAUGUGUGAGGAAGUUAUCCGGUCCGACCUAUGGGUGCGAACCUUGUAGCUGGAAAAUCUCCUACUAAAGCGCAUUAGAUUACACGAAGGACAACUGGUAUUAGAAGCAAAAAUGAAGCAAUUAGAAGCAACAAGGAGGCAGUUAGAAGAAGACUUGAAUGGUGCGAAAAAAUGAGGUGAGGAAGACAGAAGGCAUGUUAGAUAACCUAGCGAGAGGUAACUCAGAGUUGUUAAUCAAACUAGUGAAAAAUAACUCUCAAUUGCAAGAUUUGUUCGAUAAUGCGAAUAAUCAAGGUUUGAUGAUCGAACUAUUGAUAUAAAAAAAUAAAAAAUAUUUGUAAUCAAA